AUACAGAGGGUGCGAGCGUUAAUCGGAAUUACUGGGCGUAAAGCGCGCGUAGGCGGCUUGGUCAGUCGGAUGUGAAGGCCCCGGGCUCAACCUGGGUAUGGCAUUCGAUACUGCCAGGCUAGAGUAUGGGAGAGGGAAGUGGAAUUUCCGGUGUAGCGGUGAAAUGCGUAGAUAUCGGAAGGAACACCAGUGGCGAAGGCGACUUCCUGGCCCAAUACUGACGCUGAGGUGCGAAAGCGUGGGGAGCGAACAGGAUUAGAUACCCUAGUAGUCC
rnacentral:rRNA from 1 species